UGGCUCAGGACGAACGCUGGCGGCGUGCCUAAUACAUGCAAGUCGAGCGGACAGAAGGGAGCUUGCUCCCGGAUGUUAGCGGCGGACGGGUGAGUAACACGUGGGUAACCUGCCUGUAAGACUGGGAUAACUCCGGGAAACCGGAGCUAAUACCGGAUAGUUCCUUGAACCGCAUGGUUCAAGGAUGAAAGACGGUUUCGGCUGUCACUUACAGAUGGACCCGCGGCGCAUUAGCUAGUUGGUGAGGUAACGGCUCACCAAGGCGACGAUGCGUAGCCGACCUGAGAGGGUGAUCGGCCACACUGGGACUGAGACACGGCCCAGACUCCUACGGGAGGCAGCAGUAGGGAAUCUUCCGCAAUGGACGAAAGUCUGACGGAGCAACGCCGCGUGAGUGAUGAAGGUUUUCGGAUCGUAAAGCUCUGUUGUUAGGGAAGAACAAGUGCAAGAGUAACUGCUUGCACCUUGACGGUACCUAACCAGAAAGCCACGGCUAACUACGUGCCAGCAGCCGCGGUAAUACGUAGGUGGCAAGCGUUGUCCGGAAUUAUUGGGCGUAAAGGGCUCGCAGGCGGUUUCUUAAGUCUGAUGUGAAAGCCCCCGGCUCAACCGGGGAGGGUCAUUGGAAACUGGGAAACUUGAGUGCAGAAGAGGAGAGUGGAAUUCCACGUGUAGCGGUGAAAUGCGUAGAGAUGUGGAGGAACACCAGUGGCGAAGGCGACUCUCUGGUCUGUAACUGACGCUGAGGAGCGAAAGCGUGGGGAGCGAACAGGAUUAGAUACCCUGGUAGUCCACGCCGUAAACGAUGAGUGCUAAGUGUUAGGGGGUUUCCGCCCCUUAGUGCUGCAGCUAACGCAUUAAGCACUCCGCCUGGGGAGUACGGUCGCAAGACUGAAACUCAAAGGAAUUGACGGGGGCCCGCACAAGCGGUGGAGCAUGUGGUUUAAUUCGAAGCAACGCGAAGAACCUUACCAGGUCUUGACAUCCUCUGACAACCCUAGAGAUAGGGCUUUCCCUUCGGGGACAGAGUGACAGGUGGUGCAUGGUUGUCGUCAGCUCGUGUCGUGAGAUGUUGGGUUAAGUCCCGCAACGAGCGCAACCCUUGAUCUUAGUUGCCAGCAUUCAGUUGGGCACUCUAAGGUGACUGCCGGUGACAAACCGGAGGAAGGUGGGGAUGACGUCAAAUCAUCAUGCCCCUUAUGACCUGGGCUACACACGUGCUACAAUGGACAGAACAAAGGGCUGCGAGACCGCAAGGUUUAGCCAAUCCCACAAAUCUGUUCUCAGUUCGGAUCGCAGUCUGCAACUCGACUGCGUGAAGCUGGAAUCGCUAGUAAUCGCGGAUCAGCAUGCCGCGGUGAAUACGUUCCCG
rnacentral:rRNA from 1 species